CAGCCGCCGCGGGAAUACGGAGGGGGCUAGCGUUGUUCGGAAUUACUGGGCGUAAAGCGCACGUAGGCGGCUAUUCAAGUCAGGGGUGAAAGCCCGGGGCUCAACCCCGGAACUGCCUUUGAAACUAGAUAGCUUGAAUCUUGGAGAGGCGAGUGGAAUUCCGAGUGUAGAGGUGAAAUUCGUAGAUAUUCGGAAGAACACCAGUGGCGAAGGCGACUCGCUGGACAAGUAUCGACGCUGAGGUGCGAAAGCGUGGGGAGCAAACAGGAUUAGAGACCCCAGUAGUCCCUGUCUCUUAUAA
rnacentral:rRNA from 1 species